ACAGACUUAACCCAGGAAAACCAAGCCCAACUAACCUACCCAAUAACCCACAAGCCCAAUUACAACCCAAACCCGAGGCCCAAGUUCGGAGCCCAAUUCCCCCCCAAAAUCCAAUUAGGGUUUCAGAAAAAUGAAACCCUAGCCAAACCUAGCGCCGCACCCAUCCCUCUGCCGUCCGCCCUGUCCCAUCGCCACCCACCAUGCCUAGCUUCAUCAAC
rnacentral:lncRNA from 1 species